UGGCUAAUGUGCCCUAGCAUACUGCCCAGCCAAAUACGUAUUGUCCAGGAAACCGUGGCACACACCAUGAAUGAGUGUGGUCCCUGAUCACCAGGACUCAGUACACAGGGCAGAAAGGCCGGUCCCUGUUUAAGGGGAAGAAAUGCCAGGGUACUUUCAUCAGACUGGGCUAACAUUGAGGGUCAGUCCUGGCAGAGUCUGUGAGCAAGAAGCCUUCCCGAAUGGUCUGGGGGCUACUGCUCCAGCAGAGCUUUGUGGAGUUGCUGCUGUGUGCUCGGCCCUGUGCCAGGGUACAGAAAGGAAGCAAGACCCUGGCCUGGCCCUCGGGAAGUCUCUACUCUGAGGACAGGUAAGGCCUAUGGGCAGCCCUGGGUUUGGGGAC